rnacentral:rRNA from 1 species
UUAAGCGACUAAGCGUACACGGUGGAUGCCCUGGCAGUCAGAGGCGAUGAAGGACGUGCUAAUCUGCGAUAAGCGUCGGUAAGGUGAUAUGAACCGUUAUAACCGGCGAUUUCCGAAUGGGGAAACCCAGUGUGUUUCGACACACUAUCAUUAACUGAAUCCAUAGGUUAAUGAGGCGAACCGGGGGAACUGAAACAUCUAAGUACCCGAGGAAAAGAAAUCAACCGAGAUUCCCCCAGUAGCGGCGAGCGAACGGGGAGCAGCCCAGAGCCUGAAUCAGUGUGUGUGUUAGUGGAAGCGUCUGGAAAGGCGCGCGAUACAGGGUGACAGCCCCGUACACAAAAAUGCACAUGCUGUGAGCUCGAUGAGUAGGGCGGGACACGUGGUAUCCUGUCUGAAUAUGGGGGGACCAUCCUCCAAGGCUAAAUACUCCUGACUGACCGAUAGUGAACCAGUACCGUGAGGGAAAGGCGAAAAGAACCCCGGCGAGGGGAGUGAAAAAGAACCUGAAACCGUGUACGUACAAGCAGUGGGAGCACGCUUAGGCGUGUGACUGCGUACCUUUUGUAUAAUGGGUCAGCGACUUAUAUUCUGUAGCAAGGUUAACCGAAUAGGGGAGCCGAAGGGAAACCGAGUCUUAACUGGGCGUUAAGUUGCAGGGUAUAGACCCGAAACCCGGUGAUCUAGCCAUGGGCAGGUUGAAGGUUGGGUAACACUAACUGGAGGACCGAACCGACUAAUGUUGAAAAAUUAGCGGAUGACUUGUGGCUGGGGGUGAAAGGCCAAUCAAACCGGGAGAUAGCUGGUUCUCCCCGAAAGCUAUUUAGGUAGCGCCUCGUGAAUUCAUCUCCGGGGGUAGAGCACUGUUUCGGCAAGGGGGUCAUCCCGACUUACCAACCCGAUGCAAACUGCGAAUACCGGAGAAUGUUAUCACGGGAGACACACGGCGGGUGCUAACGUCCGUCGUGAAGAGGGAAACAACCCAGACCGCCAGCUAAGGUCCCAAAGUCAUGGUUAAGUGGGAAACGAUGUGGGAAGGCCCAGACAGCCAGGAUGUUGGCUUAGAAGCAGCCAUCAUUUAAAGAAAGCGUAAUAGCUCACUGGUCGAGUCGGCCUGCGCGGAAGAUGUAACGGGGCUAAACCAUGCACCGAAGCUGCGGCAGCGACGCUGAUGCGUUGUUGGGUAGGGGAGCGUUCUGUAAGCCUGCGAAGGUGUGCUGUGAGGCAUGCUGGAGGUAUCAGAAGUGCGAAUGCUGACAUAAGUAACGAUAAAGCGGGUGAAAAGCCCGCUCGCCGGAAGACCAAGGGUUCCUGUCCAACGUUAAUCGGGGCAGGGUGAGUCGACCCCUAAGGCGAGGCCGAAAGGCGUAGUCGAUGGGAAACAGGUUAAUAUUCCUGUACUUGGUGUUACUGCGAAGGGGGACGGAGAAGGCUAUGUUGGCCGGGCGACGGUUGUCCCGGUUUAAGCGUGUAGGCUGGUUUUCCAGGCAAAUCCGGAAAAUCAAGGCUGAGGCGUGAUGACGAGGCACUACGGUGCUGAAGCAACAAAUGCCCUGCUUCCAGGAAAAGCCUCUAAGCAUCAGGUAACAUCAAAUCGUACCCCAAACCGACACAGGUGGUCAGGUAGAGAAUACCAAGGCGCUUGAGAGAACUCGGGUGAAGGAACUAGGCAAAAUGGUGCCGUAACUUCGGGAGAAGGCACGCUGAUAUGUAGGUGAGGUCCCUCGCGGAUGGAGCUGAAAUCAGUCGAAGAUACCAGCUGGCUGCAACUGUUUAUUAAAAACACAGCACUGUGCAAACACGAAAGUGGACGUAUACGGUGUGACGCCUGCCCGGUGCCGGAAGGUUAAUUGAUGGGGUUAGCGCAAGCGAAGCUCUUGAUCGAAGCCCCGGUAAACGGCGGCCGUAACUAUAACGGUCCUAAGGUAGCGAAAUUCCUUGUCGGGUAAGUUCCGACCUGCACGAAUGGCGUAAUGAUGGCCAGGCUGUCUCCACCCGAGACUCAGUGAAAUUGAACUCGCUGUGAAGAUGCAGUGUACCCGCGGCAAGACGGAAAGACCCCGUGAACCUUUACUAUAGCUUGACACUGAACAUUGAGCCUUGAUGUGUAGGAUAGGUGGGAGGCUUAGAAGUGUGGACGCCAGUCUGCAUGGAGCCGACCUUGAAAUACCACCCUUUAAUGUUUGAUGUUCUAACGUUGACCCGUAAUCCGGGUUGCGGACAGUGUCUGGUGGGUAGUUUGACUGGGGCGGUCUCCUCCUAAAGAGUAACGGAGGAGCACGAAGGUUGGCUAAUCCUGGUCGGACAUCAGGAGGUUAGUGCAAUGGCAUAAGCCAGCUUGACUGCGAGCGUGACGGCGCGAGCAGGUGCGAAAGCAGGUCAUAGUGAUCCGGUGGUUCUGAAUGGAAGGGCCAUCGCUCAACGGAUAAAAGGUACUCCGGGGAUAACAGGCUGAUACCGCCCAAGAGUUCAUAUCGACGGCGGUGUUUGGCACCUCGAUGUCGGCUCAUCACAUCCUGGGGCUGAAGUAGGUCCCAAGGGUAUGGCUGUUCGCCAUUUAAAGUGGUACGCGAGCUGGGUUUAGAACGUCGUGAGACAGUUCGGUCCCUAUCUGCCGUGGGCGCUGGAGAACUGAGGGGGGCUGCUCCUAGUACGAGAGGACCGGAGUGGACGCAUCACUGGUGUUCGGGUUGUCAUGCCAAUGGCACUGCCCGGUAGCUAAAUGCGGAAGAGAUAAGUGCUGAAAGCAUCUAAGCACGAAACUUGCCCCGAGAUGAGUUCUCCCUGACUCCUUGAGAGUCCUGAAGGAACGUUGAAGACGACGACGUUGAUAGGCCGGGUGUGUAAGCGCAGCGAUGCGUUGAGCUAACCGGUACUAAUGAACCGUGAGGCUUAACCUU